rnacentral:rRNA from 1 species
AGUGAACGCUGGCGGCAGGCCUAAUACAUGCAAGUCGAACGGCAGCACAGCAGAGCUUGCUCUGUGGGUGGCGAGUGGCGGACGGGUGAGGAAUACAUGGGAAUCUGCCCAGUCGUGGGGGAUAACGUAGGGAAACUUACGCUAAUACCGCAUGCGCCCUUCGGGGGAAAGGCCGGGGACCGUUCGGGCCGUGGCGCGAUUGGAUGAGCCCAUGUCGGAUUAGCUAGUUGGCGGGGUAAGUGGCCCACCAAGGCGACGAUCCGUAGCUGGUCUGAGAGGAUGAUCAGCCACACUGGAACUGAGACACGGUCCAGACUCCUACGGGAGGCAGCAGUAGGGAAUAUUGGACAAUGGGCGCAAGCCUGAUCCAGCCACGCCGCGUGGGUGAUGAAGG